rnacentral:rRNA from 1 species
GAUCUUGGUCAGGACGAACGCUGGCGGCGUGCUUAACACAUGCAAGUCGAACGAGGAUCAUGUUGGAAGGGCUUCGGCCUGGAAGGCGUAAUUCGAGUGGCGGACGGGUGAGUAACGCGUGAACAAUCUGUCCCGGACAGGGGAAUAACACUUGGAAACAGGUGCUAAUACCGCAUAAGACCACGCCCUCGCAUGGGGGAGGGGUAAAAGGAGGAAUCCGGUUCGGGGUGAGUUCGCGUCCGAUUAGAUAGUUGGUGAGGUAGCGGCCCACCAAGUCGACGAUCGGUAGCCGACCUGAGAGGGUGAUCGGCCACAUUGGAACUGAGAGACGGUCCAAACUCCUACGGGAGGCAGCAGUGGGGAAUAUUGGGCAAUGGGCGAAAGCCCUGACCCAGCAACGCCGCGUGAGUGAAGAAGGCUUUCGGGUUGUAAAGCUCUGUUAUAGGGGACGAAGGAAGUGACGGUACCCUAUAAGGAAGCCCCGGCUAACUACGUGCCAGCAGCAGC